GGCUGCACCCACAACUCAACUUAUCCGAAAACGAGUUCUGCGGGGCAGUCGCAGGAAUACAUGAAUUCUAUUACGAGGGCCAUAGCCCCGUUCUGGGCGAGCCUUUUAUAACAAUGUGGGUUUUGACAGCCCCCAAGGAGAAGCCCUCUAGGGUUGGUGGGUACCGAGCCAGAGUCUGAACGUACGGAGGGAGAUCACAGAAGGGAUCGCGAACAUGAGGUCCUCGCCGGGGCUCUGCAGCCCGGCCAAGGCCCCAUCCACUGAGUCCUCCUUCAUCGCAGAGGCCAAGGGGAGACCUGGGCAGACCCUGCAGACAGGCUGAACCCCGACCCCAGCGCUCCGCAGAGCCCGGGAUGCGAGAGGGAGGGGGACCCCGGGGCAGGGGAGCACGGGCUGGGGAGGGGAAAAAGCGCUGGGGACGUGGAGUGGGAACGUGGUGG
rnacentral:lncRNA from 1 species